CCUACGGGUGGCAGCAGUGAGGAAUAUUGGUCAAUGGACGAGAGUCUGAACCAGCCAAGUAGCGUGAAGGAUGACUGCCCUAUGGGUUGUAAACUUCUUUUAUAAGGGAAUAAAACGAGGCACGUGUGCCUGUUUGCAUGUACUUUAUGAAUAAGGAUCGGCUAACUCCGUGCCAGCAGUCGCGGUAAUACGGAGGAUCCGAGCGUUAUCCGGAUUUAUUGGGUUUAAAGGGAGCGUAGAUGGGUUGUUAAGUCAGUUGUGAAAGUUUGCGGCUCAACCGUAAAAUUGCAAUUGAAACUGGCAGUCUUGAGUACAGUUGAGGUAGGCGGAAUUCGUGGUGUAGCGGUGAAAUGCUUAGAUAUCACGAAGAACCCCGAUUGCGAAGGCAGCUUACUAAACUGUAACUGACAUUGAUGCUCGAAAGUGUGGGUAUCAAACAGGAUUAGAUACCCUAGUAGUC
rnacentral:rRNA from 1 species